rnacentral:lncRNA from 1 species
AGAGAAACCCUGUCUUGAAAAACCAAAAAAAAAAAAAAACUAAAAGCACAAUUAUCAAGCCCAUGUUUUGGAGAAGGACACAAAUUCAGUCUGUUUACACCAAACAAUUACAGUUUAAGGGUACACCCCUCUGCCUCCCACCAGCACCCAGUGAGCCUCGUGUGACUCCACUUUUCAUGUCCUGAAAUCAUGGCUUCCUUCCCACUGCAGCCCACUGUCCAGGUCAUCUCUCUUCCAUCUGUGGCUGGACUUCUUCCCCUUUGAUCAGCUGUCUUCAGACUCACUGCCAGGCAAGGAUUUUCUUUUUCCAUUGUUUUAUCUUUCCAGAUGGUGGCUUCAGUUUUUGCUAGAAGGUGAAAAACGAUGGAAAGAAUUAAUAAACCCUUAUUGUAACUGUAUCCACAAUCCCAGGCACUUGCAAGCACGAUCUUUUGUCUCUAGAGGAUCACUGCAUGGAAAAAAAAAAAGCAUUCUUUCAGUAAACCCUCGCGGGCCUCUGCUUAGGGACCUGCGCAGCUCCCAUCCCAAGGGCCUCAGAAAAUGGACAACCCGCUCUGGUACGAGCCCUGGGCGGAGUCUCGGUCGUUCGUAGAAAGCCCUGGCCAGAAGCCUCGCUGGGCAGCAGGAGCCAGCGGCAAGAACAAGGCGAACCAGG